AGUGGGAUUGCUGGGUCACGUGGUCAGUAUGUUUAACUCUGUAAGAAACUGCCAAGUUGUUUGCCAAGGUGGAUCCGACCACUUUGCAACCGUACUAGCAGC
rnacentral:pre_miRNA from 1 species